GAUGAACGCUGGCGGCGUGCCUAAUACAUGCAAGUCGAGCGAACAGACGAGGUGCUUGCUCCUCUGACGUUAGCGGCGGACGGGUGAGUAACACGUGGAUAACCUACCUAUAAGAGGGGGAUAACUUCGGGAAACGGGUGCUAAUACCGCAUAAUAUAUUGAACCGCAUGGUUCAAUAGUGAAAGACGGUUUUGCUGUCACUUAUAGAUGGAUCCGCGCCGCAUUAGCUAGUUGGUAAGGUAACGGCUUACCAAGGCAACGAUGCGUAGCCGACCUGAGAGGGUGAUCGGCCACACUGGAACUGAGACACGGUCCAGACUCCUACGGGAGGCAGCAGUAGGGAAUCUUCCGCAAUGGGCGAAAGCUUGACGGAGCAACGCCGCGGGAGUGAUGAAGGUCUUCGGAUCGUAAAACUCUGUUAUUAGGGAAGAACAAAUGUGUAAGUAACUAUGCACGUCUUGACGGUACCUAAUCAGAAAGCCACGGCUAACUACGUG
rnacentral:rRNA from 1 species